rnacentral:rRNA from 1 species
UACGGAGGGUGCAAGCGUUGCUCGGAAUUAUUGGGCGUAAAGGGUAGGUAGGUGGUCUUAUUUGUCUGGGGUGAAAGCCUUGAGCUUAACUCAAGAAGUGCCUCAGAAACGGUAAGACUGGAGUCCUGGAGAGGGUCGUGGAAUUCCCGGUGUAGCGGUGAAAUGCGUAGAGAUCCGGAGGAACACCAGAGGCGAAGGCGGCCUGCUGGGCUGCACCUGACGCUGAGCCGCGAAAGCCAGGGGAGCGAACGGG